rnacentral:ncRNA from 1 species
CAGUAGACCUAUAGUAGUUGACAUUACUAUAUAAAGAGCUGUCUAUAAAUCUGACUAUAUGCUGGAAACUCUGAGUAUCCUAAAGUACUUUUUAAGUAAUAAUCUUUAGGUGCAGAUAAUCAGCAGGGAAGAUCCGUCAAAUGACGGAAACCCUCAGAGACUAUAUGUCAGACCCCGCUCUUUUUACGGAAAAAGAGGGGGAAGAUAUAGUCCGAACUGCAUGGCGACAUGCAG